ACUGAUCCUGACUUGAGGGAGGAAGUUCCAAACCAGACUCAGCCUCUCCAUCCUUUGAGGCUGAAGACUGAGUCACUCUUCCUGUUACUGUGAAUUCAGGACAAAGCGUCCCAGUGCUAACCACAGAGUCCGGUCUACUCACUGAGGAAACCCCCGCAGUGGUCUCACACAGGAGAGGAAGGCCUGCGGUGCUGACCGAGCUCUUCGUCCCACUCUCUGCUGGUUUCCCCACCUUGCUGUCCAGCCCUGUCCCCCUGCAAAGCUCACAAAACCAGGCUCAGCUUGCUGUUGACCUAGGAACACUGUGAUCGCCGCUUUAAACACAAGCCCUCUCAUACACAUUAUAUUCUCCAAGGUAGCUAUUUGUAUUUCACAUUUAAAUUGAGGAGAUACACUUACAAUGUUUACACUGUGUACCCAGCGUCACACAACCACUAGCAUCUAUAAAAGUCACAAUUUUUUGCAUUUUUUUAACUCACCUGAACAAGCUUUGUCCCCCUCAGUGCUAGUCUGUGCUCUCGUGCAAAGUGGGAAGAGAGAAAGAGAUUGCUCUUGCCUUUUAUUUUUCUUUGCCUUUGUGUGUCUCUUUGUUUAUUUUUAAAAAUUUAUAUUGGAGUAUAGCAGCUUUAUAAUGGGCUAGUCUCUACUGCACAGUAAAGUGAGUCAGCUGUACACACACAAUCCCCUCCUUCCCGGAUUUCCUUUCCAUUCAGGUCGCCGCAGAGCACCGAGUAGAGCUCCCCUGGGCUAUGCAGCAGGCUCUCACCGGUCGUCUAUUUUACACAUAGUGCUCUGUUGUUGUUCGGUUGCCCAGCCCUGUCCGACUCUUUGCGACCCCACGGACUGCAGCACUCCAGACCUCCCUGGAAAGGUUCUUAUCCAUUGCACUGGUAGUGGCAUACAGUCAUCUCAUCCUCUGAUGCCCUCUUCUCCUUCUGCCUUCAAUUUUCCCCCUCAUCAGGGACUUUUCCAAUGAGUCAGCUGUUCUCAUCAGAUGACCAAAAUACAGGAGUUUCAGUUUCAGCAUCAGUCCUUCGGACGAAUAUAUCAAUAGUAUAUAUGUAUCAAUCCCAAUUUCCCAAUUCAUCCCCCACUUUCCCCUUGCUAUUCAUGUUUGCUCUCUACCUCUGUGUCUCUAUUUCUUCUUUGUAAAUAAGAUCUAUACCAGUUUUUUUUUUUUCAGAUUACACGUAUAUGCAUUAAUACACACAAUUUUUUUUCUCUUUCUGACUUCAGUCUGUGUGACAGCCUCUAGGUGUGUCCACCUCUCUGUGAAUGACCCGACAGCACUCCUUUUAAUGGCACAAUGCAGAAGCAGCACCCAUCGCCUGCCAACAUCUCGUUGCCUCCUCUCUCAUCCCAUCGGGCAGAACUUAGCUGACGGGCUCAGAAUGCCCUCACCUCCUCACGUGUCCCACCAAACAAGUGAGUCUGCUGAUGGCCCAGUUGACAUCAAAGUG
rnacentral:lncRNA from 1 species